GCCAGCAUGGCAUAGUGGUUUAAGUUUUGGACUAUGGUUCUGGAAAUCAGGGUUCAAUUCCCUGCUCAGCCA